CACUGAAUCUCAAAAGAAGUCAAAUGUGAUAGGUUAGGAACAGUGGCCUGCUGGUAAACCAGCUCGCUCUCCGGAGGGUGGGGAAGGGAAACCUUGAUUUGUCGUGUUUGCCAAUAUCUGUGCUAUAAGUACCGUUACCCUGGUGGAUUUCAAGUUAUCAACUGUUUAAGAACCAGCUCGCAGAAUUCCCGAAAAUUUGACAAUCAGCUCUCCCGAGUCAGCUCCCGCCACCUCCAGCACACCUGUGCAGCUCUCCAAAGAGAGCCACCUGGGGGCGGGGCCGGGGGCGGGGAUCUGCGGUUGAUCCUGCGUAGUUCGGUGAGGUCAGACCUCACCUGAGAGGGUGUGUCUAGUUUCAAAUCCUAGAUUAUAAAAGGAACAUUGACAAAUUGAAAAUUGUUCAGGGGGUUGAGCAAGACAUAAUUUCAACUAAAAAAACAAAACAAAACAAAAAACAUUGGGAAGGAGAACUGCUGGGAUGAAUAUCCAGGAGAAGAAAAACAGGGGGAUCCUAGGCAUUGUUUCCGAAUCUCAGUAGGGCUGUGAGUUACCUGUCGUGGGCAGCAGAAUCUGAACUGAUGAGGAGGGGCUAGAACAGGGAAGCUGACUGCAGCUCAUGCUAAGAACUUUCUGCUGAAGUUGCCCAAAGAAAGGCAGAGCUGCCCGGUGCUGUGGGGAGCGCCCCGCCGCUGGAGGUAUGGAAGAUGUGGGGCAACCACUAGGUGGGGCUGUGGCAGUGGACACUCCAGCGCCCCUUCUGGUCUCUGGGGGCUGAUGCUGCCCUGGAGUCCUCCUCUUUCUCCCAUUUAACCAGUUUCAUCUUCUCGCCUUCAUUCUUUUUUUUCUCUUUUUCCUGUCUGGCCUGGCUCACUUUCUUAGUUGCCUUUGGCUGAUUUACCUGGUUUAGCUCCCUCUUUGGACAACGAUCUCUACCUGUUUCUAAAGAGAGAAGACCAAGCCUCUUAGCUUUCUCCCUGCCGCUUACAUCCCAGGAAGAAAGCAAAAGGCCUCUUCGUCCCAUUUUUCUUUGCUUUCUCUUCUCUCUUCCAGCAUUCUCAGCUCCACAUUUGUGACUGAAGAAGGACAAAUAAACAAAUUGAAACUGAAACUGACUGUUGGCCCUAAAGUGAGGACAUCUGGGAGGCUUGCAAGGAAAUUUACAUGCUUGUCGGGUUUCAGGUUACAUAUUUUGUGUUGCCUGGUAACGAGCCCCACAGUUUCCUUUCAUGCUUUAUUCUCCCCCAUCCCUUGUUUAUAGUGUAAUUACCACUGUGACAUCAUAAUCCCCCAUUGAACAGCUGUCAAGGGGGCCCAACUGCUGAGUAAACAGGGCUUUACAAUCUCUCCUCCCACAGGCUGGUUUACUAAAUAGAUCAAUAUUUGGUUUGUAGGCACAGGGAUUAGGAGGUGGAAGUGUCUUUUGAAAAAGGCCUGUCUCUUCCCAGGGCCUCCGGUGCACCUGAGAAUGCUGGAAAAAAAAAGCCAGGUUCAUGGACAAAAAAAAAAAAAAAAAAUAUCACUCAAGCGGCUUUCACCUGCCCACGAUUUCCCAAGGAGCAGCUUCUCUUUAAGAAGUGAGAUCUACUCGAGAAUUAGUAAUGUCUUAGGUUCUUUAUUCUAAUGCUUAGAGAAUUCCACUUUCUUCUCUGUCUCUGUCUCCCCACUUAGUUCCCCUUUUUCUGUCCCCAAUCCCAUUUGAUUUAAUCUUUCUAAAUGGAUAUUAUAGCCUCAGGGACUAAAAGAAUGACACAUGGAUAAACAGGAACUAAGCUCCUGAAGGUCUCCCCCGGCCCCCGCCACCCCACCCCCCACUCCGGGAUUAGAAGCUCUGCAAAGAAAGCAACUCAGAGGUUUCUUUGUCAAAUUAGAGAUUCCUGGUUGAUAGUUUGGGAAAAGAUGGUUUAGAUUUUGCCUCUCUUGGGUCAGGGAAGUCUGACUCAAACGCGCGUAGGAGCAGAGAACGUGGAGCACUAGCCUGAGCAUCAGGAGCCAUGAGCUCUAACACUGCUGCCCACUGUGACUUGCUCUGUGACUUUGGACAAGUCCCUUGUGGAAGCAACAUUAGAACUGGGCUGCAAGGGUCUCCAAGGCCUCUCCCAGGGAGAGUAACAAGGAUGAAGAGAAUAUCUUAAAAGGACUUAGAAAUAAAAGAUGAUCAACCAAGAAUUGGAAGAUUGACAGCUGACUUCUCAGCAACCUCUUCCUGAUGGAGAUUAAUAUCAAUUACUCCUGAAUAGACAAAGCAGAAGAAGGUUUACUCUUAAGCUGCUAAUGCUUAAUCUUCAAGGCUACUCACUUGCUCAAGCCUCUUUCACAUGGUCAUAUGAUUUUUUAAUAUUUGCAAAGAAAGAUAUUUGUAUUUUUUUGUGAUUUCAUUUCUCAUUCCAAA
rnacentral:lncRNA from 1 species